UGUGGUGCUGCUGUAUGUGGUGGCAGUGGAGGACAGUGUUUGGCAACCCCGCCCUGGCUGAAGAACAUGAAGAAAGAGAAGACAAAGAGAGAAAGACAGACAUGGAGGAACAACAAGAACAGAAAAGAAAGAAAGGAAUGAAAAGACUAGUGAAAGAAAGACAGUGACCUCAACACACACACCCUUACACACACUGGUGAACUGAACUGGCUCAUCAAAGGAACCCUCCACUAUGAUCAGGAGAGGCUGAUAAUGGCAGCACAAGACCAGGCCAUAAUGACCAUCGCUUUAAAAAAAAUGGCUGGUCUCAGUAACAACAACAAAUGCAGGUUCUGCCACACUGAAAUUGAAAGUGUGAGCCACCUGAUCUGCAGCUGCCAGACUCUGCUAGCCGAUGGCUACUACACAGCCAGGCAUGAUGAAGUGUGCAAAUACCUACACUGGACCAUCUGCAACAGCCUGAACAUCAAGUGCUCUAGCAAAGUGUGGGAACAUCAGCCAGAGAAAAUCACUGGAAAUGAGACGCACACCAUCUACUAUGACCAGGUAAUUGCAACAGCUACCUACCUAGAUAAUGCUGCAGUGAAACCGGACCUGGUUGUGUGGAACAGGAAAGAAAAAGUGGCUAUGAUAGUUGAGGUCAGUAUCCCACAUGACAGUGGGCUAAACAGAGUUGAAAGGGAGAAGGUCACCAAAUAUCAAGGCCUGAUGCAUGAUAUGAAAAGAAACUGGAAAUUGAAGAACAUCUCGAUUGUGCCAGUCAUUGCCGGAGCAACAGGCCUACUGAAAAAGAACUUCAAAGACCAUCUAGCUAAAAUCCCAGGAAACCUGAGGGCAACAGAAAUCCAAACAAUUGCCCUUAAGGGAACCACUACCAUCUUAAAAAGAACCCUCGGUUGCAGCCUCUAAAAAGUGGGUGAUUGUUAGGAACUUGGCAGAGUGCCCCAUCACCCAUAAUCAAGACUGAAAAAGUAAACUAAAACAAAAAAAGUGAAGGACCCCAUGAAUGUCAAGAGUGUGGCAAAGUGUUCAGUUGCGAGAGUAAACUCAACUCACACGCCCUUACACACACUGGUGAACGACCUCAUGAAUGUGAAGUUUGUGGCCAAAGGCUUACACAGAAGGAUGGCCUCAACACACACACACUGGUGAAAGGCCUCAUGAAUGUGAAGUUUGUGGCCAAAGGCUUACACAGAAGGGUUGUCUCAACACACACACACUGGUGAAAGGCCUCAUGAGUGUGAAGUUUGUGGCCAAAAGCUUACACAGAAGGGUUGUCUCAACACACACACACUGGUGAAAGGCCUCAUGAGUGUGAAGUUUGUGGCCAAAGGCUUACACAGAAGGGUUGCCUCAACACACACACACUGGUGAAAGGCCUCAUGAAUGUGAAGUUUGUGGCCAAAGGCUUACACAGAAGGGUUGCCUCAACACACACACACUGGUGAAAGGCCUCAUGAAUGUGAAGUUUGUGGCCAAAGGCUUACACAGAAGGGUUGCCUCAACACACACACACUGGUGAAAGGCCUCAUGAGUGUGAAGUUUGUGGCCAAAGGCUUACACAGAAGGGUUGCCUCAACACACACACACUGGUGAAAGGCCUCAUGAGUGUCUGGAAUGUGGAGAAAGAUUCAGAGAGAAGCAAACCCUGGAGCAUCACAUGUUCAGAUACUCUGGCCUGAGAGAGUUCAAGUGUGUGGGAAGCACUUUAACACGAAGGGGCACAUUGCCCGGCACAUGAAGACCCACUUCUGAGGUGGUGUGUUGUGCUGCUGUGUGUGUGUGACGGGGAGCCAGUCAUCAACAGCAUCUGGGGAGGACUGGCACCGUGUUGUGGCUGACUGCUGAGAGAUUCACCAACACCACAGUGAACAGUGCUGUCUGCCCUGGCACAGUGCAGCAGCCAACACCACAGUGAACAGUGCUGUUUGCCCCAAGCCACCUUGCCCCAGUACAGUCCAGCAGCCAACAAGCCACACCACAGUGAACAGUGCUAUCUGCCCCGAUCCACCUUGCCCCGGCACAGUGCAGCAGCCAACACCACAGUGAACAGUGCUGUCUGCCCCGGCAAAGUGCAGCAGCCAACAAGCCACACCACAGUGAACAGUGCCGUCUGCCCCGAGCCACCUUGCCCCGGCACGGUGCAGCAGCGGUAACUCGGGCCGCCACAACAGACCAUCAGCAGGAUUACCAAGGGGACGCUGUGUGAGGGUUUGUCAAGUUUCCCUGCGCUCCACAAGAAACCCGGCCCAGCAGAGACCACUGGGGCAGAGUGCUGGCCUGGGAGCUGUGAUGGCUUGUUAAACCCGGCCCAGCAGAGACCACUGGGGCAGAGUGCCGGCCUGGGAGCUGUGAUGGCUUGUUAAACCCGGCCCAGCAGAGACCGCUGGUGCAGAGUGCCGGCCUGGGAGCUGUGAUGGACUUGUUAAGCCCAGCCCAGCAGAGACCACUGGGGCAGAGUGCCAGCCUGGGAGCUGUGAUGGACUUGUUAAGCCCAGCCCAGCAGAGACCACUGGGGCAGAGUGCCGGCCUGGGAGCUGUGAUGGCUUGUUAGGGUUGCUGCCCCGAGGGAAUUGAAGGCAGAAUAUGUAAUGGGUCAAGGCAGGAACACUCCAGUGGUGCUUGUCAAGCCUUGUAUUGUUGGCCAGUGGCUGGGUGAUGGACGGGCAAGUGGCUCCAGCAGGGAAGGCUGAGCACUGUGCUGGGGCUGAGGGGAGAUAAAGGCACAGGCAGUACAGCAGUGUGCCGCGUGGAACACUCUUGGCGGAAACACCCAGAGGAAAAUGACUGAAGAAUACAGAAGAAGGAAGACCAAAGAGGGAGGAAGGAAGGCAUGCUGUGCCUCAGAGGUCUGGAGAAGAAUGAAUGAAGAGUGAGUAGCGUAGGAUGAAUGAAGAGGAAGAAGAAGGUGCCGGCACUCUGCGGGUGAGUGCCCUGCCCACAGGCCUGGAGAGGGGCCGUGUGCCUGCUGGAUGCUGCCUGCUAGGGCACCCUUGUCCGAGGCAGCUGCUGCCUGCACCCUCGGCCAGGCCCACAGACACUCCACAGCGGGGAAGGAGCUGAGAUGAGACCAGACUCAGCCCUCCAGUGAGCCCAGGAGACCACCAAGGGGACACCCACGCACCUCAUCACCUGGGGGGAGGACGCAUGGAGGCUGUGGGUGAGUGAAGCAACCCACCCCCAGUGUAUGCUCAGGCACAAGGUUACGUCAGGUCAGGGGCUGCCUCAAGAACAGACUCUUGCAGGGAAGGAGACAGAGACAAGACCACUGAGCCGAGGGGACCAGUCAGGUCUUCAAGAUGCUGCCUGGAUGCUGGGGAGACAAGAUGAGACCAGCUGAGACGAGUCCUGUUGGGGAGAAGAUGGAGGGAGAUUAAGG